CUUAGUGUCUCGACUCUUUUCACAUAAAUGAAUUGGUGAAAGUCUGAACUUGCUGACAAAUCUGUAGAGUCCAUUUUUCUUGUAUUGACGACCGAGCCCAUCAGAGUUGUGUGUUGACAAAUUACAUGGUAUUUUCCUCUCAAAUAAAUUACAUGGUAUAUUAACUGUACAUGGUUUAAAACUUGUAUUGGUACAUGGUUCAAAAGUUAGUAUUAGUUGAUUGAGACACCUUUGAUGCAUUGGGCACAAAACAGAGUACUCCGAGUUACAAUGUAAACUGUGAGUUCCAU
rnacentral:rRNA from 1 species